AACAUCCAGAGCAUGCAUUCCUGGUUGCAAAUGAUCCUUCAAUAGCUCUAAGCAGGUUGCAUGCAUGUGAGGAGCAGAUAUUGUUGCGUUGAAACCAAUAGGCAUAGGACUGUCAAUGUAAGGGGUACCCUCUGGUACAAAUAGUGCUCUAUCAAUCGUUUCCAUUACUUCCGCCACUUUUUCAGUUCUAACAACACCAUACUGCUUUAGGUACUCAACCAGAGCCUUGUUCCUGUCCAGUGAUGGUUGACUCCAAUAUUGCUGAAAGUUAAUCAAGAAUCGGUGAGACUACACUUGAUAUGUAUGGCUACAGGAUGGAAUUGCAGCAAUAAACAGGCAAUCGCAGUGCUAAUUUGAGCUCGCUUUCUUUUCUUAUACAGAAAAACGAUGAAGCAUAAAUGAAAACAGAA
rnacentral:lncRNA from 1 species